AUUGAACGCUGGCGGCAUGCUUUACACAUGCAAGUCGGACGGCAGCACAGAGAAGCUUGCUUCUUGGGUGGCGAGUGGCGAACGGGUGAGUAAUAUAUCGGAACGUACCGAGUAAUGGGGGAUAACUAAUCGAAAGAUUACCUAAUACCGCAUAUUCCCUGAGGAGGAAAGCAGGGGACCUUCGGGCCUUGCGUUAUUCGAGCGGCCGAUAUCUGAUUAGCUAGUUGGUGGGGUAAAGGCCUACCAAGGCGACGAUCAGUAGCGGGUCUGAGAGGAUGAUCCGCCACACUGGGACUGAGACACGGCCCAGACUCCUACGGGAGGCAGCAGUGGGGAAUUUUGGACAAUGGGCGCAAGCCUGAUCCAGCCAUGCCGCGUGUCUGAAGAAGGCCUUCGGGUUGUAAAGGACUUUUGUCAGGGAAGAAAAGGCUGUUGCUAAUACCGACAGCUGAUGACGGUACCUGAAGAAUAAGCACCGGCUAACUACGUG
rnacentral:rRNA from 1 species